rnacentral:rRNA from 1 species
AGUGAACGCUGGCGGUGGGCCUAACACAUGCAAGUCGAACGGCAGCACAGGAGAGCUUGCUCUCUGGGUGGCGAGUGGCGGACGGGUGAGGAAUACAUCGGAAUCUACUCUGUCGUGGGGGAUAACGUAGGGAAACUUACGCUAAUACCGCAUACGACCUACGGGUGAAAGCAGGGGAUCUUCGGACCUUGCGCGAUUGAAUGAGCCGAUGUCGGAUUAGCUAGUUGGCGGGGUAAAGGCCCACCAAGGCGACGAUCCGUAGCUGGUCUGAGGGGAUGAUCAGCCACACUGGAACUGAGACACGGUCCAGACUCCUACGGGAGGCAGCAGUGGGGAAUAUUGGACAAUGGGCGCAAGCCUGAUCCAGCCAUACCGCGUGGGUGAAGAAGGCCUUCGGGUUGUAAAGCCCUUUUGUUGGGAAAGAAAUCCAGCUGGCUAAUACCCGGUUGGGAUGACGGUACCCAAAGAAUAAGCACCGGCUAACUUCGUGCCAGCAGCCGCCGUAA